rnacentral:rRNA from 1 species
GUGUCAGCCGCCGCGGUAAUACGUAGGUGGCGAGCGUUGUCCGGAAUUACUGGGUGUAAAGGGCGCGUAGGCGGGGAUGUAAGUCAGAUGUGAAAUACCAUGGCUCAACCGUGGGGCUGCAUCUGAAACUAUGUUUCUUGAGUGCUGGAGAGGAAAGCGGAAUUCCUAGUGUAGCGGUGAAAUGCGUAGAUAUUAGGAGGAACACCAGUGGCGAAGGCGGCUUUCUGGACAGUAACUGACGCUGAGGCGCGAAAGCGUGGGGAGCGAACAGGAUUAGAUACCCUGGUAGUCCACGCCGUAAACGAUGGAUACUAGGUGUAGGAGGUAUCGACCCCUUCUGUGCCGGAGUAAACACAAUAAGUAUCCCACCUGGGGAGUACGGCCGCAAGGUUGAAACUCAAAGGAAUUGGCGG